rnacentral:rRNA from 1 species
CUUGGCGGCCAUAGCGCUCUGGACCCACCCCUUCCCAUCCCGAACAGGACCGUGAAACAGAGUUGCGCCGAUGAUAGUGCAUACUUCAUGUGCGAAAGUAGGUCACCGCCAGGCUCCCCUUACAACACCCCAGCUACCUCGUGGCUGGGGUGUUU